UGGAGCAAUCCAUGAGUAGAGUGGCAAACGGGUGAGUAACACGUGGGUGACCUGCCUUCGAGCGGGGGAUAACGUCCCGAAAGGGACGCUAAUACCGCAUAACAUCCUGCCUUUUAAGAGGUGGAGAUCAAAGCCGGGGAUCGCAAGACCUGGCACUUGAAGAGGGGCCCGCGCCUGAUUAGCUAGUUGGUGGGGUAAUGGCUCACCAAGGCAACGAUCAGUAUCCGGCCUGAGAGGGCGGACGGACACACUGGGACUGAGACACGGCCCAGACUCCUACGGGAGGCAGCAGUGGGGAAUUGUUCGCAAUGGGCGCAAGCCUGACGACGCAACGCCGCGUGGAGGAUGAAGACCUUCGGGUCGUAAACUCCUUUCGAUCGAGACGAAUGGUUUCCGGGUGAACAAUCCGGAGAAAUGACGGUACCGAGAGAAGAAGCCCCGGCUAACUCCGUGCCAGCAGCCGCGGUAAUACGGGGGGGGCAAGCGUUGUUCGGAAUUACUGGGCGUAAAGGGCUCGUAGGUGGCCAACUAAGUCAGACGUGAAAUCCCUCAGCUUAACUGGGGAACUGCGUCUGAUACUGGAUGGCUUGAGUUUGGGAGAGGGAUGCGGAAUUCCAGGUGUAGCGGUGAAAUGCGUAGAUAUCUGGAGGAACACCGGUGGCGAAGGCGGCAUCCUGGACCAAUACUGACACUGAGGAGCGAAAGCCAGGGGAGCAAACGGGAUUAGAUACCCCGGUAGUCCUGGCCCUAAACGAUGAAUGCUUGGUGUGGCGGGUAUCGAUCCCUGCCGUGCCGAAGCUAACGCA
rnacentral:rRNA from 1 species